rnacentral:rRNA from 1 species
UAAGGGCGCACGGUGGAUGCCUUGGCACUAGAAGCCGAUGAAGGACGUUACUAACGACGAUAUGCUUUGGGGAGCUGUAAGUAAGCUUUGAUCCAGAGAUUUCCGAAUGGGGAAACCCAGCAUGAGUUAUGUCAUGUUAUCGAUAUGUGAAUACAUAGCAUAUCAGAAGGCACACCCGGAGAACUGAAACAUCUUAGUACCCGGAGGAAGAGAAAGAAAAUUCGAUUCCCUUAGUAGCGGCGAGCGAAACGGGAAGAGCCCAAACCAACAAGCUUGCUUGUUGGGGUUGUAGGACACUCUAUACGGAGUUACAAAGGACGACAUUAGACGAAUCAUCUGGAAAGAUGAAUCAAAGAAGGUAAUAAUCCUGUAGUCGAAAAUGUUGUCUCUCUUGAGUGGAUCCUGAGUACGACGGAGCACGUGAAAUUCCGUCGGAAUCUGGGAGGACCAUCUCCUAAGGCUAAAUACUCUCUAGUGACCGAUAGUGAACCAGUACCGUGAGGGAAAGGUGAAAAGCACCCCGGAAGGGGAGUGAAAUAGAACCUGAAACCGUGUGCUUACAAGUAGUCAGAGCCCGUUAAUGGGUGAUGGCGUGCCUUUUGUAGAAUGAACCGGCGAGUUACGAUUUGAUGCAAGGUUAAGCAGUAAAUGUGGAGCCGUAGCGAAAGCGAGUCUGAAUAGGGCGUUUAGUAUUUGGUCGUAGACCCGAAACCAGGUGAUCUACCCUUGGUCAGGUUGAAGUUCAGGUAACACUGAAUGGAGGACCGAACCGACUUACGUUGAAAAGUGAGCGGAUGAACUGAGGGUAGCGGAGAAAUUCCAAUCGAACCUGGAGAUAGCUGGUUCUCUCCGAAAUAGCUUUAGGGCUAGCCUCAAGUGAUGAUUAUUGGAGGUAGAGCACUGUUUGGACGAGGGGCCCCUCUCGGGUUACCGAAUUCAGACAAACUCCGAAUGCCAAUUAAUUUAACUUGGGAGUCAGAACAUGGGUGAUAAGGUCCGUGUUCGAAAGGGAAACAGCCCAGACCACCAGCUAAGGUCCCAAAAUAUAUGUUAAGUGGAAAAGGAUGUGGCGUUGCCCAGACAACUAGGAUGUUGGCUUAGAAGCAGCCAUCAUUUAAAGAGUGCGUAAUAGCUCACUAGUCGAGUGACACUGCGCCGAAAAUGUACCGGGGCUAAACAUAUUACCGAAGCUGUGGAUUGUCCUUUGGACAAUGGUAGGAGAGCGUUCUAAGGGCGUUGAAGCAUGAUCGUAAGGACAUGUGGAGCGCUUAGAAGUGAGAAUGCCGGUGUGAGUAGCGAAAGACGGGUGAGAAUCCCGUCCACCGAUUGACUAAGGUUUCCAGAGGAAGGCUCGUCCGCUCUGGGUUAGUCGGGUCCUAAGCUGAGGCCGACAGGCGUAGGCGAUGGAUAACAGGUUGAUAUUCCUGUACCACCUAUAAUCGUUUUAAUCGAUGGGGGGGACGCAGUAGGAUAGGCGAAGCGUGCGAUUGGAUUGCACGUCUAAGCAGUAAGGCUGAGUAUUAGGCAAAUCCGGUACUCGUUAAGGCUGAGCUGUGAUGGGGAGAAGACAUUGUGUCUUCGAGUCGUUGAUUUCACACUGCCGAGAAAAGCCUCUAGAUAGAAAAUAGGUGCCCGUACCGCAAACCGACACAGGUAGUCAAGAUGAGAAUUCUAAGGUGAGCGAGCGAACUCUCGUUAAGGAACUCGGCAAAAUGACCCCGUAACUUCGGGAGAAGGGGUGCUCUUUAGGGUUAACGCCCAGAAGAGCCGCAGUGAAUAGGCCCAAGCGACUGUUUAUCAAAAACACAGGUCUCUGCUAAACCGUAAGGUGAUGUAUAGGGGCUGACGCCUGCCCGGUGCUGGAAGGUUAAGAGGAGUGGUUAGCUUCUGCGAAGCUACGAAUCGAAGCCCCAGUAAACGGCGGCCGUAACUAUAACGGUCCUAAGGUAGCGAAAUUCCUUGUCGGGUAAGUUCCGACCCGCACGAAAGGCGUAACGAUUUGGGCACUGUCUCAACGAGAGACUCGGUGAAAUCAUAGUACCUGUGAAGAUGCAGGUUACCCGCGACAGGACGGAAAGACCCCGUGGAGCUUUACUGUAGCCUGAUAUUGAAAUUCGGCACAGCUUGUACAGGAUAGGUAGGAGCCUUUGAAACGUGAGCGCUAGCUUACGUGGAGGCGCUGGUGGGAUACUACCCUAGCUGUGUUGGCUUUCUAACCCGCACCACUUAUCGUGGUGGGAGACAGUGUCAGGCGGGCAGUUUGACUGGGGCGGUCGCCUCCUAAAAGGUAACGGAGGCGCUCAAAGGUUCCCUCAGAAUGGUUGGAAAUCAUUCAUAGAGUGUAAAGGCAUAAGGGAGCUUGACUGCGAGACCUACAAGUCGAGCAGGGUCGAAAGACGGACUUAGUGAUCCGGUGGUUCCGCAUGGAAGGGCCAUCGCUCAACGGAUAAAAGCUACCCCGGGGAUAACAGGCUUAUCUCCCCCAAGAGUUCACAUCGACGGGGAGGUUUGGCACCUCGAUGUCGGCUCAUCGCAUCCUGGGGCUGUAGUCGGUCCCAAGGGUUGGGCUGUUCGCCCAUUAAAGCGGUACGCGAGCUGGGUUCAGAACGUCGUGAGACAGUUCGGUCCCUAUCCGUCGUGGGCGUAGGAAAUUUGAGAGGAGCUGUCCUUAGUACGAGAGGACCGGGAUGGACAUACCUCUGGUGUACCAGUUGUCGUGCCAACGGCAUAGCUGGGUAGCUAUGUGUGGACGGGAUAAGUGCUGAAAGCAUCUAAGCAUGAAGCCCCCCUCAAGAUGAGAUUUCCCAACUUCGG